UAGGGAAUCUUCCGCAAUGGGCGAAAGCCUGACGGAGCAACGCCGCGUGAGUGAUGAAGGUCUUCGGAUCGUAAAACUCUGUUAUUAGGGAAGAACAAAUGUGUAAGUAACUAUGCACAUCUUGACGGUACCUAAUCAGAAAGCCACGGCUAACUACGUGCCAGCAGCCGCGGUAAUACGUAGGUGGCAAGCGUUAUCCGGAAUUAUUGGGCGUAAAGCGCGCGUAGGCGGUUUUUUAAGUCUGAUGUGAAAGCCCACGGCUCAACCGUGGAGGGUCAUUGGAAACUGGAAAACUUGAGUGCAGAAGAGGAAAGUGGAAUUCCAUGUGUAGCGGUGAAAUGCGCAGAGAUAUGGAGGAACACCAGUGGCGAAGGCGACUUUCUGGUUUGUAACUGACGCUGAUGUGCGAAAGCGUGGGGAUCAAACAGG
rnacentral:rRNA from 1 species